rnacentral:rRNA from 1 species
CGGUAAACANAGGGAAGCGAAGCGGUGACGUGGAGCGAAUCCCAAAAAUAACGUCCCAGUUCGGACUGUAGUCUGCAACUCGACUACACGAAGCUGGAAUCGCUAGUAAUCGCGAAUCAGAAUGUCGCGGUGAAUACGUUCCCGGGUCUUGUACACACCGCCCGUCACACCAUGGGAGUUGGGAAUGCCCGAAGUCAGUGACCCAACCGCAAGGAGGGAGCUGCCGAAGGCAGGCUCGAUAACUGGGGUGAAGUCGUAACAAGGUAAC